rnacentral:rRNA from 1 species
GUAGGGGGCAAGCGUUAUCCGGAUUUACUGGGUGUAAAGGGAGCGCAGACGGCACUGCAAGUCUGAAGUGAAAGCCCGGGGCUCAACCCCGGGACUGCUUUGGAAACUGUAGAGCUAGAGUGCUGGAGAGGCAAGCGGAAUUCCUAGUGUAGCGGUGAAAUGCGUAGAUAUUAGGAAGAACACCAGUGGCGAAGGCGGCUUGCUGGACAGUAACUGACGUUCAGGCUCGAAAGCGUGGGGAGCAAACAGGAUUAGAUACCCUGGUAGUCCACGCUGUAAACGAUGAAUACUAGGUGUUGGUGGGCAAAGCCCAUCGGUGCCGCCGCAAACGCAAUAAGUAUUCCACCUGGGGAGUACGUUCGCAAGAAUG